CUCCCUGUUGGCACGGCGGGCUGGACGCUGUGGCUGCCACUGCAUACCGCCAGAAACAGAUCCAAAUUCCAAACUCCAAGAACGGUUUCUCCUGAUUGAGUGUUGCUUUCGCGCCUUCACAAAGUCAAAAAAUUGAAGAAUGGAACCCUGGGCCAUGGAUCUGAGCAUGGGCAGCCCCCCGGUCUGGGUUGUUUCUUCCAAGUGCCCCCGCCCUACUGGGGAACAUGUCCUCUGCCUCAACAGAGGCUGUGUACAGGAACCUACCAAAGCCUGCAGACAGCAAAGCAUCUGAGAUUCUGUUGAUCUGGAGUGAAACUUGGCCGGAGGCAGACAUUGCCAUUGCGCCACCUGCUGGAAGUUUGGGGAAAGAAUCUGAAACUGUCAGUUUGGCUGUAGCUAGUUAACAUCACACUCCUACUGAUUAUUUUUAAUACUUCUUAUUUUGUCUUAUUACACAACUUAGAGGUUUGUUAAGACAAUUUAGGAAGUUUAUAUAAGUAAAACAAAAACACAAAAAUCACUCACAGUCUUGUCACCCAGAGAUAAACAUUUUUUUAUGUUAUGUUGUCUUUCUAGUCUUUUUUCUACUUAGAUAUGAGUAAAUACAUACACACUGUUAGUCUCAUUCAACACACAUUAUUUUAUACCCUGAUUUUCAAGCUCAACAAUGUCUUAAGCAUCUUUACAUAUCAUUAAUUAUAAUCUGCAACAUGACUUUUCCUAGCAGUUUUUUAUAUAUCCCUGAACCAAGAUUCUGGGGUAUCAUCCUAUGUAUUAAAUGCAAUGUUAUCUAUGCUUUGAGUUUUUUCUAAAUCUAAUUUUCCCCUCCUCUUUUCUCCCCUUCUUUCUUUUUCUCCUUCAUUCCUUCUUUCCUUCCUUCCAGCCUUUCGUCUUUAUUUAUUUCUUUAUUUUCCCUCUAGUAGAAAAGGUCUCAGCAGAUGUUGUUUGGAGCAGUUCCUUGCAGUAUCUCUCUCCCCCACCCCUCUGUAUGAAGGGCUCCAGAGACUUCCCACUGAGCCCUGGAUCUCUCCUCUAGGUGGUCUCUGCCUUGGAAGACAGGACACUGUAUUCUGAAUCGAUAUAGGCAAGACAGAUGGGAUCUCAAUGUAGUGCUCCUCCAGUAAAAAACCCAAAAAGCUACAACUACUGAUCACUUACUCUGUGCCAACCAAGCUCCAUUCUACAAAACUUUCAUGAUUAUCAUGGGGAAGCAUCCAAAACCCCUUUUGAGAGAGAGUACUUCUCCUUCCUUCUUUCUAUUCACUGGAUAGCUCAGGACACUGUACUUGAGAAAAGCAGAUGAACUUGCCCAAGGUCAUUAGCUCUUAGUCUGAAACCUCAGCAUGCAGUGAUCACCUAUCAAAAGGAAACAAAAUUAAACGAAAGGGAUUUCCAGAUUCUCUUUAAAGAAUUGCACAUCUGGCAACAUGGGUUUGUGCUCCCCCCACAGCAAAAAUCAGCUCAACAGAAUAUGCACACACUAGACCAGCCAGGAGUCUCCGGUUGUACCAUCUCUGGCCUUCCUGUAUUCUCCCCACCACAGAGGGGGGAUGCCUUCUGUGAACCACACCAUGCGGUGGUCUGGCCUCAUCUGACAGAACAAGGGAACUUACAACGACCAUGACAGGCUUGGGGCUUUAAGGCUGUCUGAGAACCAGGGUGUGUUUUGGCCCCCCAAAUCGCUCACCUCUCCUAUCUGUGGGUGUGGGGAUGGAGUCUUAGGGUGCUAGACCAGGAAAGGAGGGACAUAGAGAUGGAUCAGGCUGAAAUGGUUGCCGUGGGUGCCAUUACCAAAGCUACUGGAAUAAAUGUACACAUGGGCAGAUGGUAAUGGUUGUGUUAGCUUGGUUGGUUGACUGAAGUCAAAAAAGAAUAUUGGCCUGAAAUGAAGUUGCUAAAAUAUAGAACAGGAACUGGCAAACUUUUCCUCUAAAGGGACAGGCAAGUAAAACUUUUAGCCUUUGUGAAUCACGCAGUCUCUGUUGCAAUUUCUUAAUUCUACUGUGGCAAGGCUAGAGGGGCUAUGGGUGAUAUGUAAAUGAAUGGGUGUGAUCGUGGUCCAAUAAAACUUUAUUUACAAAAACA